rnacentral:rRNA from 1 species
AACGAACGCUGGCGGCAGGCUUAACACAUGCAAGUCGAGCGCCCCGCAAGGGGAGCAGCAGACGGGUGAGUAACGCGUGGGAAUCUACCCAUCUCUACGGAAUAACGCAUGGAAACGUGUGCUAAUACCGUAUACGUCCUUCGGGAGAAAGAUUUAUCGGAGAUGGAUGAGCCCGCGUUGGAUUAGCUAGUUGGUGGGGUAAAGGCCUACCAAGGCGACGAUCCAUAGCUGGUCUGAGAGGAUGAUCAGCCACACUGGGACUGAGACACGGCCCAGACGCCUACGGGAGGCAGCAGUGGAGAAUAUUGGACAAUGGGCGCAAGCCUGAUCCAGCCAUGCCGCGUGAGUGAUGAAGGCCCUAGGGUUGUAAAGCUCUUUCACCGGUGAAGAUAAUGACGGUAACCGGAGAAGAAGCCCCGGCUAACUUCGUGCCAGCCGCCGCGGUAAUAC